ACAAGAAAUGCUAAAAGCCUAAAAAUCUGAUGAGGGUUCCGGUUACUCUAUUCGGAUGGUCCAUCUUAGGUUUGAGAUGCUCUCAGUAUCUCUUAGUUAGUGAGAUAAUCUGACCUAGAAUCUGAAAGAAAAAAGCAAAAAAGAAAUUGUCGAUUGUAAGGAAGAAAAGAAAAAUUACUGGGCAAAAACAGCGAGGAGGUCG
rnacentral:misc_RNA from 1 species